GGGGCAAGCGUUAUCCGGAAUUACUGGGUGUAAAGGGAGCGUAGACGGCUGUGCAAGUCUGGAGUGAAAGGCGGGGGCCCAACCCCCGGACUGCUCUGGAAACUGUAUGGCUGGAGUGCAGGAGAGGUAAGCGGAAUUCCUAGUGUAGCGGUGAAAUGCGUAGAUAUUUUGAGGAACACCAGNGGCGAAGGCGGCNNACNGGACAGUAACNGACGNNGAGGCUCGAAAACGNGGGGAGCCCCUAUAAGGAGGGANNNNGGNAGUNCANGCAAANAAAGAGGACCCUGAUGGAUCGGAGGGUAUGGACCCUCCGGUGCCGCAGCAAACGCAGUAAGUAAUCCACCUGGGGAGUACGUUCGCAAGAAUGAAACUCAAAGGAAUUGACGGGGACCCGCACAAGCGGUGGAGCAUGUGGUUUAAUCCGAAGCAACGCGAAGAACCUUACCAAGUCUUGACAUCUGGAUGACAGGGACGUAACGGUCCCCUUACUUCGGUACAUCCAAGACAGGUGGUGCAUGGUUGUCGUCAGCUCGUGUCGUGAGAUGUUGGGUUAAGUCCCGCAACGAGCGCAACCCUUAUCCUUAGUAGCCAGCGGGCAGGGCCGGGCACUCUAGGGAGACUGCCGGGGAUAACCCGGAGGAAGGUGGGGAUGACGUCAAAUCAUCAUGCCCCUUAUGAUUUGGGCUACACACGUGCUACAAUGGCGUAAACAGAGGGAAGCGAACCCGCGAGGGGGAGCAAAUCCCAAAAAUAACGUCCCAGUUCGGAUUGUAGCCUGCAACCCGGCUACAUGAAGCUGGAAUCGCUAGUAAUC
rnacentral:rRNA from 1 species